rnacentral:rRNA from 1 species
AUUGAACGCUGGCGGCAGGCCUAACACAUGCAAGUCGAACGAGUGGCGGACGGGUGAGUAAUGUCUGGGAAACUGCCCGUUGGAGGGGGAUAACUACUGGAAACGGUAGCUAAUACCGCAUACCAUCCGAUGUGCCCAGUGGGGAUUAGCUUGUAGGUGAGGUAACGGCUCACCUAGGCGACGAUGCCUAGCGGGUCUGAGAGGAUGACCAGACACACGGGAACUGAGACACGGCCCAGACUCCUACGGGAGGCAGCAGUGGGGAAGAUUUCGCAAUGGACGAAAGUCUGAUGCAGCCAUGCCGCGUGUAUGAAGAAGGCUUUCGGGUCGUAAAAUACUGUGAGCUGAGAAGCGGUACCCAAAGAGAAAGCACCGGCUAACUCCGUGCCAGCAGCCGCGGUAAUAC